UUCACUGUGUGGGGUGACUUUCCAUCAAAAUAGCCACAUUCUCUCACCAAGACUCCCUCGUGGCCCUCGGCUCUGGGAGCCACAGUUGUCUGUGCACUGCCUCCCUCUCUCUUUGCCUCUGUUUAUCUCUCUCUCUCUCUCCUUUGUCUGGCUCUGUCUCUUUCUUGCCCCAUCUCUGCUUCUGUCUGACUCUUUCUCUGCCUCCCUGUCUGUCUGUGUGUCUCCCUCUCUGUGGGUCUCUCUCUGACUCUCUGUCUGUCUCUGUCUCUCUUUGUCUAUCCCUGUGUCUCUGUUUCUGUCUGUGUGUGUGUAUAGACAUAUUUGUCCAUUUAUGAUGACAUUCCAUGGAUGCUCCUUCCCCCAGACGGUUCGAGGUGUGGGGCACCUGGGCUGCAAGGCCUGUAUUAGAACAAGGUCCCUGUGCUGCUCAAGUGAAAACCUCUGGAAGAGCGGAUGCUUCUGGGAAGGCCCUGUAAGAAGCCGAGGAGUGCGCGGGUUCUCCAUGGCUGCCACGGAGACUCCCAUGGAAGCGUCUGUGUGAUGCCGUAAACAGGAGCCUGUCCCUUCCCUCCUGUGCCCCUGAGGGCAGUGCCCCAGGGAUCAUGCUUACAGGCUCCCCACUGACCAUUCCCACACCAAGGCCAGAAGCCCCUUGCUCCGCACCCUCCUGGGGAACCCACCCGAAGUGCCUGCUGCACGCUGUCCUUUGGGGUCGCUAGUGUGCCCUUGCCCUGCCCCGGAGGCCUGGGUCUUGUGAGAGGGUGGUGGGGCCAGUCGGGACUGGUGUGGGUCUCUGUGAGCUGCAGGAGCCCCUCCUGUGUCCUUUCCUGCUCCUGCCCAUAGGCUGUGAUGGGAUUUCUUUGUCGCUCAGCUCAGAGUGGGGGGCUUGGGGGACUGGAGGGCCUGGGGGAUUGAGCCCCACACCUGGAGAGGGGCACAUCCUUCUGGUGUCCUGAAGACGGUUCCUGUGGGGUUUCCACAGGAGACAUGCUGUGUUCUGCUGAGGACAGGUGUCUGCCACCAAGCUGUCUCCCUCGAGCUCUCUGUUUUUUGUUUUUUCUUUUUGUUUUUUAUUUUUUGAGAUGAACUCUCAUUUUGUUGCCCAGGCUACAGUGCAGUGGCGCGAUCUUGGCUCCCUGCAAACUCUGCCUCCUGGAUUCAAGUGAUUCUCCUGCCUCAGCCUCCUGAGUGGUUGGAUUACAGGCGUGUGCCAUCACGCCCAGCUAAUUUUUGUAUUUUUAGUAGAGACGGGGUUUCACUAUGUUGGCCUCGAGCUCUUGGGCCUGCUCCAGCCAGCUGAGCACCGGCAGCCACUCCUUCCACAGUGCUUUCUCCUUAAGCCAUGUUCCCUGUGUUGGAGGCAGGUCCAAUUUGGGUGGGGAAAGGCAUUGGCUGGCUCAGGGGAGCCAUGGCCAGGAAGCUCAGACCCCGGGUCAUGAAGACCCUUGGCCUGCGAGACCCCCUUCAGAGCUAAACCCUCAAAUUAGAAACGUCUCACAGAGACCAGCAGUGGGAGUCUCAGUCCUCAUGGCAUUGGGGUCACCAGCAGGAGACGCAGCCUGGGAGCCUGGUGAUCCCUCUGCCCCACAUGGCGCUGGGGUCCCAGCAGGAGAUGUGGACCAGGAGCCUGGUGAUCCCUCUGGCAGCCCAGGAGCAGGUGCACAGUGAGAUCUCCUGAGUUCUCAGGGGCUGUCGCUGCAGCUGCUGCAAUGUCACAGGGAUGAGUUCACCAGAGAACGUCGUCACCCGUGAAGUCUGUUACAGAUGUGGGACACACGUAUCUUCAUGAACAGAAGGCUGGGGCAGAGAGUGGUGAACCAUGGGUGAACAAGGCUGCUGUCUUCUGUUCUUUCAAAUUAUUCCCUUCUUGGAUGCCAGCCACCCUCAGGUGCUGGCCUUACAGCUGUGAAUGAGCCAGGCCUGGCCCCUGCCCGCAUAGAGCUCUCCAUCAGACAGGGUGACAGCCUGACAUGGGUCAUGACCUGGUGAUGGAUGCCAGGAGAGGGGAGGCUGGAGGGCUGGGGUGGAGGCAUCUCCUGGGAGGCACCAAUACCAAGAGCUGCAGGGAGGCCUAGAGCCAAAGCCCAUCUCCUUCCUCCUGUCCCUUGAUCUGGGUUUCUAGGCUGCUAGGAGACAUGGCACGGGAGAGAGGUCCCGAAGGUGUGGAGUCUGCUGUGCUGGGGCGUGAGUCUCCACUGCAGACGUGGACUCUCUAAGGAGGCCACAGGAAGGAGAGACUGGGUUUCUCAAACUUGAGCUUGCAGAAGAUUCAUUUGGGAACCUCAAAUGGCAGGUUCCUAGGACUCAGCCCCAGCGACCCUGAUUCUGAAGGGCUGGGUUGGGUCUAUGGAAGUUUGACUUUCAGCAGGUGUUCCAGGAGGCCUGGAUGCAGGUGAGGUCAUUUGAGGACAAGGCUGGUCUGGGGGCAAUGGUGCUUCCUACCACUGUCCUGGUGCAGGUGUCGUGGGUGAAAAUCUGACCAUCCAUGUCCACCGGAGGGACUCUCCUGGCUUCUGGCAUCCUCUGUUUUCAUGUGGCCAGUUUUGCAGGAGGGCAGCUGAGACCUGCAGAACCUGCAUGUGGCUUUUGCCUACACGGCAGCCUCUUUUUGAGGUUUUGGGUUAAAACUUUUUUUGUGUGCAGAGCUGGUGCCAGGCAGAACUGGGAUGGAGAUGCUACCUCAAAUGUGGGUCUGUUUAUUUAUCUCAAGUUUCUACCAUCCUGCCAAGGGGUGCCCCUCAAAACAGACACACACACACAGCCGCUGGAUUCUCCAGGGGCCUCUGAAGUCCAGCUCUCCACUGACUUGUUGCUCUUCUUUUUCUCUGUUACGUACAUGAGGAGCACAUUGUAACUGUGCAAUAAGUGUCUACUGGUGAUGGAGAAAGAACCCAGAAGCUUCACGCAUGCCCAUUGCCACAUGAGAUAUGUUUGGGGAGAAAGGUGAGGAUGAAGAAGAGUGAGAGAAGAUGUCUGACUUCAUUUACUGUUCUAGAAGCUACAUGACAGUAAAAGAUGGAUCCUGCCCAGGUGCUUGGGACCGGGAAAACAGUCCUUUGUAAAGCCCGGUCUCCCGCUGCUGCCCCCACCCCGACCUGCCCUGACUUUGAGAUGUCCUGUGGUCUAACAAUGGGAUCUUCUGAAAAGCCGUGUCCAUAAUUGAGCCUGAGCGCAAGGGACAAUCUGGUCCACAGAGCUCGCGGUGAGAUUCUCCCCACUCUCUGAGUCCUCUCGGGGGUUCCAUGGCUUCCAGGCACCAUUUUCCUCUUUUGUUGUCAGGGUUCUGCUAAUGAGCAGCCUACUUAGCCCAUCUCUGCCCAGAUGUGGCCUUAAGGGCUCCCUGAGAUGGGGCCCGGCCUCAUGAAUAACUCACAGCGACCCGGGGCGCCAAGUCCGUUCCUGCGGCUGAGCAAGGCCUCGGAGCUGCUGAAGGGGCAUUAAUCCUCAUUUUAUGUGGGGAAAACAGCGAGGAGAAAAGGCAUGCUUGCAAUUUAAUGUAACUAAAUGUCAUUCUGCACCCCCUGUAUCGCCGCUCAAUUGAAAGCAACGGGGAUUGGGGCUGAGGGGUAAGACGGCGGUUGCAUAACCUGAUUCAUAACCCUCAGCGCCUAUUUAUCAUAAAAUCAUUUACGGCUCCAUAAAACGUGUUAAUUUGGGUGGCGGUGAUGUAUGUCUUUGAUUUAGGAGCUGACAUUUCUGCCCAGUGGCUGCUCGGCAUGGGCUCUGUAGCCCUGAGAAGGGACAAGGAGAAGUAAUCACACAGGGGCAGCGGGGCGGCAGGCUUGUUUAUGGUGACGUGUUUGGGCUGGCUGGUCUCUCCUCAGGGAAGCCUCCGGCUAGGAGGGAGGGAAGAGGAGGUCUGGGGCAGGUCUGGGGCACGUGGAACCUGGUGGGGGGUGAAUUAGAGGGAACCCUAUCUGAAGGCUGGGGGCUGUCCCAGAAUUCUGCCGUUUAUUUAAUAAAUUCUUAGUGUGAUUUCCCUCAGAGGAAAUUGGCCGCUUCAUGAGGGUCUGUUACUCUGGGUGCAUUAUUUAUUGAGCACCUACUGUGUCCAGGAUUGUGUGAUGUACUGGUGUAGGAAGUCGUGUGCAAGACAGAUGAGGGUCCCGCCUGCAGAGUCCUCCCCCAGCCUUGGGCUUCGGCCUUAUGAUUCCUGGACGUCUCAACGGCAGAUUCGAGGAGAAGGGCACAGGAGGAGUCUGCAGCCCCCGAUCCCACCCUCUUGCCAAUGCCCUCGGGUAAUCAGCCUCCUCACUCUUAAGCAGGGAAGGCACCUGGCCGACAGCCACAGGACACGCUUAUGCACGGACGAGUUGCCAGGAAGAAUGGACUGGAAGUGGAAGUUUGGGCAUCCCAGGGUGGGCGGUGGUGCCACAGCAUCACAGCAGGGCCUUCCAUCUCCCACCAGCAGGAAAUCUGUCUCCAAAAAUGAGCUCUGCUCCCCAUCCCCAGAGCAUCCUCCUGGCCCACUCCUUCCCUGGCUCUCCCUCCUGAUUACGGGCUUGUUUUUAUGAAUUUGAAAGGUAAAAAGCCAAUGCUCCAUGGAACUUCAUGUUUUCUCCACCCCCAUAGUUUAUUAAAAAAAGAAACACCCAGCAAAUCAUUUUUAUGAGCAAUUAAGUACCCUCUAGUGCAUAUAUGGUGGGCUCAGCUGACAAAUGGAUUGACGACCCAGGCUGGAGGCUGAGCUGGUCUCCGCCGGUUCUGCCCCCACCCCCACCUGAUCCCUUACUGCUCCCCUUGGCGGCCGAGGUAAGUGUUUCCAUUCGUCAGUCUCAGGAGGAAUGAUGGUUUAUGUUCUGGGCAUGAGCGCUUUUAUUUGCCAUUAUUUUCUCUUCUCCAUGAGAACUGUUGGUUCAUAACUUCUGUUAUUGCAGAAUAUUAUUUACAGAUCUCAACGUAAGGGAAGCCAGCUGGGGGAAUAUUUGUUUGCACAGCUCUCCUUCCCCCAGACUCCCUCUCAAAUCUCUAAAUAAACUUUUCUAUUGAUUCUGGAGGGAAACAUCCAUCAGGCGUUGUCAUGAGAGCGAGAUGGAGAAGCCGAUUUCAUUCCUGUUUUUGGAACAUUUACUCUUCAUUUCGUUGCCCUGAGGAUGAAGCAUUCUCAUAGAUGGCCCUGAACACUUCCAGGAAAGACCCACUUGAGAGGACCAAGGAGCUUUCUCUCCAGACAGCAAGAAGGCCCUCAUCAGAUGGGGGCACCUUGGCCUUGGAUUUCCCAGCCUCAAGAGUUGUAAGAAAUAAAUCUCUGUUCUUUAUAAAUUA